GACAAUCUGGGGCUGUCGCUAGUGGCAGCCGCCUGGUGCUCGAGUUGGCAAGGCUAAGCAAAACCGGAAAGGUCCUGGAGUCUCGCCAGUAGGCAGCCUGCACACCGACUGAAGCAGACAGAGUCACUCCAGCUGAAUGAGCUCCAGCUUAUUGACAACCCAGCAAUAGAGGAAAAAAGUACUGAAUGGAUGCGUAGGUCUCCAGGAACAUAAAAGUCAAAGAGGAGAUCAUCCAAAUGAAUUGAAGCCUAAACUAAAUAUGUAACAUGCAAACCUAUUCAGCUCAUUAAAUCCCCCCCACAGCUGGGGACAUGGUGGACUCAUGGACCUGUGAGGGAGCAGCUAUAUCCACUACACCAACAUGCUGUCCAGGAAUUGUUUUAUGAAAACAACAUAUAAGAGGAUCAGAUAACCUUAAAUAUUGUGAGAUCUGUGAAAAUAAUGCUGUUAUGUCUUAAAAAUGUGAUUUUUUUGCUCCAUUGUUUUUUAGUUCUAUACCAACAUUCUAGGAUGUACUAUAAUGAAAAUAAAGUGCUAAUGUUUUAUUAAGCUAUAUAACCCACAUUCAAAGCCAAUUAAACCUUUCUGGUUUGCUCUUGUUAAUUCACAUUAUUUGAUGUACUUAAUACCAGCCAUAUUUUUAAUCACAGGAAACCAACCUUAUAAAUUUGAAAAAAUAACUUGGCCUAAAAUGAAAGACACACCUUUAUUAAGAUGGCUACUAUCGGGGUAACAUUCUGUUUUUUAACACCAGAGGUCAGGGUUGUACAGCUCAAAUAUCAACAAUUUGAGUAAUAGAACUUAGAAAGACAUAUAAAUAGGGAAAAUGCAUAUAACUACAUUUCCAGAGCUAUGUUUUUUUCAUAAUGGAAUCAUUCCUGGCAUAUUUGCAUCUAUUAAAAUAGCAAAACAUUCAAUGAUUUAUGUGAAAAGGGAGUGAGUUAAGAAGGUUGUAUUAAUUGUA